AGAACGAACGCUGGCGGCAGGCUUAACACAUGCAAGUCGAGCGCCCCGCAAGGGGAGCGGCAGACGGGUGAGUAACGCGUGGGAACGUACCCCUCGGUUCGGAAUAACUCAGGGAAACUUGAGCUAAUACCGGAUACGGCAUUCAAGAGAAAUCUUGGCGGCGAAAGAUUUAUCGCCGAGGGAUCGGCCCGCGUCCGAUUAGCUAGUUGGUGUGGUAAUGGCGCACCAAGGCGACGAUCGGUAGCUGGUCUGAGAGGAUGAUCAGCCACAUUGGGACUGAGACACGGCCCAAACUCCUACGGGAGGCAGCAGUGGGGAAUAUUGGACAAUGGGCGCAAGCCUGAUCAGCCAUGCCGCGUGAGUGAUGAAGGCCUUAGGGUUGUAAAGCUCUUUCGCCCACGACGAUAAUGACGGUAGUGGGAGAAGAAGCCCGGCUAACUUCGUGCCAGCAGCCGC
rnacentral:rRNA from 1 species